rnacentral:rRNA from 1 species
GACGAACGCUGGCGGCGUGCUUAACACAUGCAAGUCGAACGGAAAGGCCCUGCUUUUGUGGGGUGCUCGAGUGGCGAACGGGUGAGUAACACGUGAGUAACCUGCCCUUGACUUUGGGAUAACUUCAGGAAACUGGGGCUAAUACCGGAUAGGAGCUCCUGCUGCAUGGGGGGGGUUGGAAAGUUUCGGCGGUGGGGGAUGGACUCGCGGCUUAUCAGCUUGUUGGUGGGGUAGUGGCUUACCAAGGCUUUGACGGCUAGCCGGCCUGAGAGGGUGACCGGCCACAUUGGGACUGAGGUACGGCCCAGAAUCCUACGGGCGGCAGCAGUGGGGAAUAUUGCACAAUGGGCGGAAGCCUGAUGCAGCAACGCCGCGUGCGGGAUGACGGCCUUCGGGUUGUAAACCGCUUUCGCCUGUGACGAAGCGUGAGUGACGGUAAUGGGUAAAGAAGCACCGGCUAACUACGUG